GGUGGGGGACAGAGUGGGUGGGGAGGGGAGCCGCCAUACAGUGGCCAGGACCAGCUUUGCCCAAGUGGUGGCAACCGCAUGACCACAGGAACGAUGGCGUGAGCCCCGUGGCAACCUGGAGGAAGGGGUGUGAGAAGAAAACAUUAGAACUUCUAUUUUGUACCUGUGUUACUCCACAACAAGAAAGCAAUCAGCUUGAUCAAUGCCUACUGUAAAGACGGCACCGCCCUCCGGAGGUCCUUUCUCAGCCCUGGUGUUCGGACAGCCACAUCCCCUCGCAGCAGGGGGAGGCCUGAAGCAUAGAGGGGCCCAUGCAGGUCUAUUCUGUUUCAGCGAAUUGCCUGGGAAAUAAUCCAGGAUCCAUUUCGUGUGGUCAUCUUGUCUCCCUGGUCCCCUCCAGCCUUUCCUCAUCUUUUGUGACCUGGUCACUCUGGAAGGGCGCUGGCCAGUUAGUCCACAGGAUGGGCCUCCCCUGGGGCUUUUCUGAUGCUUCCUUAUGAUGGCACUGGCAUCCUGAGGGGGAGGACCACAGAGAGGAGGUGCUCCUCAUCACACCACAUGGGGGUCCAUGCACCAGUGCCACUGCUUUCCAGGGCUCUUCACCUUCAUCACUGGUGGAGGUGGCGUCUGCCAAGAAGCAGAAAGUUGAGGCUUAGAAGGUGCACGGCCCUACCUCUUCCGAGGUGCCCCUGCGGGCUGUCUACAGACCAGGCAGCACAUGCCUGAUAGCAGCUGCAUAAGGAAAAGCAGGAGCCAGCUCGUGCACAGUGGCCUCAAGUGUGCACUGGGCAUGUUCUCUGCCUCACCAUCCCUGUGUGACAGAUGAAGCUUCAAGGACCACAGAGGGCCAAGUGCAGGAGUAAGAGGCUGGCGUGCUGACAGUGGCCAAGGGCAUUGGAGGGAAGGACCUGUCAUCACUGGGCCAAGGAAGGAACUCCAGACUGCCUACUUCCAGAGGGCCUGCUGAGAACCCCAAAGAGCUCUCUCAACAAACACACCCACGAGUUCCAGGAGUGAGGCUGCAGGGAACAGCCUCACUCUCAGAGGGGAUACAGAAUUGUUCCACUGGACAAGGGCUGGGAUCGUCAUAGGAUGCCGUUGGCCUGUGGUUUCCAACAGAGGUGCAGUUCAUUGAACUGUGGUCUACAGUCCAUUCUCUAACUUGGGGACCCUUGAAGAAGUGUGGAAUCAUGACAACAACCCUGUUGGGAGACACUAUUAUUCCCAUCACAUGGAUGAGCACACGGAGGCAAAAGGAAGUUAUAUGAUUGUCUGAGAUCACCCAGUGAAGACUGUGUGGCUGGGAGUUGUCCCCAGUGUUAUCUGCACGCUGCUUCCUUUUGAUGCCUGGCCCUUCUUUAUCAAAAGAAGCAUUGGCAGAAUCUGGGUGUUUAUGGGUCAGCUCAAAAUAAAUUACUUUAUAUGUCAUU
rnacentral:lncRNA from 1 species